CUUCCGGUCAUUCUGACAGUGGAAGCGACUCUUCCGAGGAAACAUCAUACACAUAAGAUGGUGACGUCAGAAAGCAAGUGCACCUGUGACAACUGUUGUGAGAAAGUGGAUUGAUAACAGAAGAACUUGCUUUAUCCAAUAAUAAAGAAAAUGGCCUCAUACACGUGACAGUAGUGGUAUAGCGCUGGUACAGACCGGUGACAAUGGUGCAGUUGUUCAACAUGUUCAAGAUAUCCCGUGAGGCACUGGAGUCUGGUGUGGGGGUCAUACUUCGGGUCCCCGCCCUCUUUGUUAUGGAGGUGUGGUACCGCACUGACCCUCUCAAGACGGUCCAGGUGCAGACCAAGGAUGUCGAGAUCAUCAUCAAAGUUGUCUAUUACAUGGCUCUCCUGUUUGCUGUUGCUAUCGGCACCCUCCCACUGAAGAAGCUGGUGACCUUCUAUGUGUACCUGGUGAGCGGACUGAUGCUACUUGGGUCGUUCUUCCUGUCACAGAGCUUCGUCCAGGUAGAGGUGCUGGAGAACAAGGAGCAGACGUGGGCGGACCUGUUUGAUGACAAGGAGCACACGGAGAGGUUGAUCCUGCACCUCAUUGCCCAGGCCUUCAUGGCUGCUCUCAUCGCAUACCUAGUGGAGCUGAAGGAUUGGACACGUUUCCUCAUGCUCGUCUUCACGCUGCCUGUCCUGGCUCGCUCCCUAGGCUUCCCACUCAACGAUUUACACAUUGUUCAUAACUUUGCAUCCAUUUUCUCCACCCUCAUUGUGCUGUUCUAUGUGUUUAACAACCUUGGGAAUAUCAUUGAUAACUGUAAGGAAGGAAUCAACAAUGUUGUUCUUGCCUUCCGUGCGUUUGGUGUCUUCCCGGUUUUCAUCACAUUUUGGCAUUCUGUACUGCUUCCCAUACAACUGUUGAUAUUCUGGCUGAUCAUGUUCAUCACACAACUAUAUGUUUAUUUAUAUUCAGAAAACCAUCCUAUAAUGCAGGAAGGUUGGAUUGUGAUUAUCUUGGCAAGUAUUGGUGAGUGUUGUGCAACACCGAUUAGCCUGUUUGCAUUAUGUGUAACAAUAACCUACGCAUCAUACAGUAUUCUGACUUUGACUAAGCUUUACCUCCAAGGAUUUGAGGCAUGGUCACAAGAUGUGGACGCAAUGCGAGGAUGGACAGAGGGCUUCACAAUGUUAUUAAUAGCCAUUCAGACUGACCUACUUGACCUGCGACCUCUUCAAAGAGCAUUUCUGAUGAGCAUCCUUUUGUUCAUUGUAGCAUCUUCCCUAAUCCAGUCCAUGUAUGAAAUCGCUGAUCCAGUUUUGUUGGCACUGAGUGCGUCCCACAACAAGAGUGUGUUCAAACAUGCCCGAGCUGUGGCUCUCUGUACGUUCCUGUGGAUGUUCCCACUGUACAUGACCUACUCCAUCUGUCAGUACUUCGACCUGGACUUCUGGCUCAUGGUCAUCGUGUCCAGCUGCAUGCUGACCUCCGUGCAAGUCAUCGGCUCGCUUGCAGUGUACUCACUAUUCAUGUAUGACUCUUUCAGAAAUGAACCUUGGGAAAUGCUGGACGAUGUCAUAUACUGUGCGCGGGCCAUCACACGUGUGCUGGAAUUCUUUGUAGCUGUGUUUGUUGUGUGUUAUGGACUGAAGGAGUCGUUGUUUGGAGAAUGGAGCUGGAUAAACUCCUCCAUCUUGAUUGUCCACUGUUACUUCAAUGUGUGGCAGAGACUACAGAGUGGCUGGAAGAGCUUCCUGCUGCGGAGAGAGGCUAGUAAGAAGGUCGAGAGCCUCCCAUCAGCCUCUGAGGACCAGCUGUCCUGCUUGGAUGAUGUGUGUGCUAUCUGCUAUAAUGAGAUGAAGAGUGCACGGGUGACCCCCUGUGGCCACUUCUUCCAUGGUGUGUGUUUACGCAAGUGGUUGUAUGUCAAGGACAGCUGCCCGAUGUGUCACCGGGAUAUUCACCAGGAGGUGGCGGCAGGUUCCGACUCCGCCAGGGAGGACUUUGUGAUGAAUCCAACUCUUGCAUCCCAGGAUGAUGACGACAGUUCUGAGACAGCAUCUUCGCAGACAACAGAGUCCAGUGAUAGUGCAGCCAUUGCUGACGAGAGAAAUGUGGAUCUUGACAACGACCCACAUGACCUUCUGGAAGAUGCGGGACAUGUGUCCAAGUUUGACCUGAUUGAGGGAGUGGCAGAGGCUGCGAGUCCCACAAACAAUGACAAUGAUGAUGUGGAGAUUGAUGCGUGGGUAAGGGAACAGGGCUUGGCUGACAGCGGGGGAGGGGCCGAUGUCAGGAGAAGGUAUGGGCUCAUUCAUCACCAGAUCUGACUCACACCUGGAUGUCUGUGGGUGUAUAGGGGGUACAUGGAAGCUUUAUCUUGCCAAUGAAAUGGUGUAACUUUGAGAUCCUGGCAGAUCCUUAUAGGAGCCAUAGUAUCAUAUCAGUAUGUUGAUAUGUUUGUGUUGGUCCUCAGGACCUCUGGUUAACAAGAUUUCAUAGUGCUGUGUACAUGGUCUGUGAUUGAAGUCAGUUAUUUUCCUUCAUGAUAAAAGCAAUAGUUUUCUCUUCUAGAUACUAUUUUGUUAUUACACCAUAGGUGUGGCUGGUCAUUAGCUGGCUAACUAACAGUAAAUUACAUUUAAAUACAUUAGUAUUCCCUUAUUUUCUAGUGAUUGUUGGCAAUGGUUAGUGCCUUUUACUAUGAAUACAGACAUAACAAAAUGCAUUUGAUGCAUGGCAUCGUUGUCCACAAUCCAUAAACUGUCCAAUGUCGUGUAUUUUGUGUGGUGUAGUUGUAAAUGUAUAACAUUUGGAGAAAAGGUGAAUUAUGUAGCAAUAUUGCAGUGGUGAAAAUGCCCUCAGUAGUCACCCCAGGUCCUGAACUAUUACCAUUGAAGCAAGAGGACAUUUGUGUCAAUAUUCACUGUUGUCUUGUUUUUGUAAGAAUGACCAGUUGGCUCCUUGAUUGCAUUACUGGCCAUCUGAAUAUAGUGGAGUCAUAAGAAUGACCAGUGUUUUCUCCUUUGUCAACAGGAGCCAAGAAAAAGAUUUGGUGUGCCCAACUAAUUGUAUUCCAGAGGAUAUAUGCCUCACUCAUGUCUAUGCCUGAGAGUGGCAGAGCUAAGGUGUAAAUAUUGAAAUGUGUUAUUUAUUUGUUAAAUAUUGUGUUGGAGGUGAACCAAGGUCGGUCGAUAUUAGUGUUGCUGUACACCAAUCAUUUUAUACUUAGGAACUUUACAUCCUUGAACUAGUCCAAGAGUUGAAACAGGUGUUCUUAUUUAUUUCUUCUGUUAAUUGUGUAUUUUGGCCCUAGGUCCUGUCUCAUGUUAGACAUGGUCACUCUUGGCUGGCUCACAAUAAUUAUAACAUUAACAUAAUACAUGACAAUGGUGUCAAUAGAUUGACUGUAUUUGCAACUCAUUUUGUUUAAAAUCAGUUGAUAUUUUGUAGAUGUUGUCUCUGCUUGUACAUGUAUUAGCAUGGUUAAUGAUAAUUACUUGUGCUAAUGUUGGCAUGUGUGAUGCUACUUCGCAUGGCCACCGAGUACUUCAUGGUAGGGUAGUCAGGUUCAGUCCAGCAAGACGUACUUCAUGGUAGGGUAGUCAGGUUCAGUCCAGCAAGACGUACUUCAUGGUAGGGUAGUCAGGUUCAGUCCAGCAAGAAGUACUUCAUGGUAGGGUAGUCAGGUUCAGUCGUGCAAGAAGUACUUCAUGGUAGGGUAGUCAGGUUCAGUCCAGCAAGACGUACUUCAUGGUAGGGUAGUCAGGUUCAGUCCAGCAAGACGUACUUCAUGGUAGGGUAGUCAGGUUCAGUCCAGCAAGACAUACUUCAUGUUCAUGGUAGGGUAGUCAGGUUCAGUCCAGCAAGACGUACUUCAUGGUAGGGUAGUCAGGUUCAGUCCAGCAAGAAGUACUUCAUGGUAGGGAAGUCAGGUUCAGUCCAGCAAGACGUACUUCAUGGUAGGGUAGGCAGGUUCAGUCCAGCAAGACGUACUUCAUGUUCAUGGUAGGGUAGUCAGGUUCAGUCCAGCAAGACGUACUUCAUGGUAGGGUAGGCAGGUUCAGUCCAGCAAGAAGUACUUCAUGUUCAUGGUAGGGUAGUCAGGUUCAGUCCAGCAAGACGUACUUCAUGUUCAUGGUAGGGUAGUCAGGUUCAGUCCAGCAAGACGUACUUCAUGGUAGGGUAGUCAGGUUCAGUCCAGCAAGACGUACUUCAUGGUAGGGUAGUCAGGUUCAGUCCAGCAAGACAUACUUCAUGGUAGGGUAGUCAGGUUCAGUCCAGCAAGACAUACUUCAUGGUAGGGUAGUCAGGUUCAGUCCAGCAAGAAGUACUUCAUGGUAGGGUAGUCAGGUUCAGUCCAGCAAGACGUACUUCAUGGUAGGGUAGUCAGGUUCAGUCCAGCAAGACGUACUUCAUGGUAGGGUAGGCAGGUUCAGUCCAGCAAGACGUACUUCAUGUUCAUGGUAGGGUAGUCAGGUUCAGUCCAGCAAGACGUACUUCAUGGUAGGGUAGUCAGGUUCAGUCCAGCAAGACGUACUUCAUGGUAGGGUAGGCAGGUUCAGUCCAGCAAGAUGUACUUCAUGGUAGGGUAGUCAGGUUCAGUCCAGCAAUACAUUUUGGGGAGCACCAGGUGUCCACCACAGAAGACAGACUUGCAACUCACUCACACUCUUGUGAAGGUCAUCUAUCCUUUUCAAGUGGUAUUUAUUCACAGCUCUGAUCAUAGUCCCCCUCGCUGUUGGGGUAAGAUGACACAUAAUUAGCCAAGUCACAGAGCCUGGAUGGGGUUCUGGGGAUUGAAUACAGGGUCGGUUGAUGGGGUGACCUUCAUUUUGUUGAGUGACCUUCAUGUUGCUUUUGCAUUGGUGAGAGUUGAAGAUGAAGCAAUUGUUUCUGAUACAUCAUUAACUUCGCCAUGGUAACCUUGUGUUGCCGGGUGUAUCAUGUGGAGAUGAUAAUAUCUGAUAAAUCUUGUUAAUAUUAAUGUCUUGCAUAUCUUACCCGAUAUUGAACAAAAACAGUUACUGGAGGUACACUGGGAAUGUCUUAAUAUCUGUCAUGCUAAUAAUGACGUACUGUGUACAAUAAACCUGUUUCACAGCA
rnacentral:misc_RNA from 1 species